GUCUCAGCAGUUCUCUGCUCUUCCCUCCUUCAACUCUGAAGAACGAGCUCGUGGGACUCUGAUCACGUGCCACAGCCCGUGUACAAAGGGGAACCCGCUAAGUGACUUGUUCAAGGUCACACCAGUUCCUGGAGAACCAGGAAUCACGAGUCUCCAUCCUCCCACUCCCGACAGUCUGGGCAGGGCUGUCAGCAACAACGGAUUUACGGAUGGCUGCGUGGGGAAGAUUCAGAUUUGACUGAGAUAAACAGAGCUGUGGAAACCA